AAGGGCUUCAGCAGGAUGGUUUGCUGGGGGAGAAUGGAGACAAGCAACACCAACAGCUCCCUGUGGCCGGAGGCUAAAUUCAGAUCAAUGACUAUGAGCAGAAGCGGUGCAGGCAAUUCCAGGUCCUAACAUUCCAAAGAAAGCUGGUGAACCAGAGGCAAGUGCAACCUGCCUGUUCCAGAGAUAGGAGGCGUGUGUCCAUGUUGGCAGAACCUCUGUCCACCCCCGACUGACCCUCUGGACUGUACGGAGAGAGAAAUAAGCUUUAUUCUUAUCUCUUAUUUGAA
rnacentral:lncRNA from 1 species